rnacentral:rRNA from 1 species
AUUGAACGCUGGCGACAGGCCUAACACAUGCAAGUCGAGCGGCAGCGGGAAAGUAGCUUGCUACUUUUGCCGGCGAGCGGCGGACGGGUGAGUAAUGCCUGGGAAAUUGCCCAGUCGAGGGGGAUAACAGUUGGAAACGACUGCUAAUACCGCAUACGCCCUACGGGGGAAAGCAGGGGACCUUCGGGCCUUGCGCGAUUGGAUAUGCCCAGGUGGGAUUAGCUAGUUGGUGAGGUAAUGGCUCACCAAGGCGACGAUCCCUAGCUGGUCUGAGAGGAUGAUCAGCCACACUGGAACUGAGACACGGUCCAGACUCCUACGGGAGGCAGCAGUGGGGAAUAUUGCACAAUGGGGGAAACCCUGAUGCAGCCAUGCCGCGUGUGUGAAGAAGGCCUUCGGGUUGUAAAGCACUUUCAGCGAGGAGGAAAGGUUGAUGCCUAAUACGUAUCAACUGUGACGUUACUCGCAGAAGAAGCACCGGCUAACUCCGUGCCAGCCGCCGCCGUAA